rnacentral:rRNA from 1 species
UCAAGCUAAUCUGCCCUGGGUAAGUCGGGACCUAAGGCGAGGCCGACAGGCGUAGUCGAUGGACAACGGGUUGAUAUUCCCGUACCGGCGAAGGACCGCCCAUGCCAAGCGGGGGAUACUAACCGCCCGGAGCCUGCCCAAUCACCCUUGUGGUGUGCGGGUUUUGGCCGAGCGCGGGACCUGAUCCCGGGAGGUAAGCGUAUUAACAGGUGUGACGCAGGAAGGUAGCCGGGCCGGGCGAUGGUUGCCCCGGUCUAAGGAUGUAGGGUCAGCGAUAGGCAAAUCCGUCGCUGUGUCUUGGAUGACGUUCCUGAGAUCUGAUGGGACCCCCGUCAUGGGGGGAUCCGGUGAUCCUAUGCUGCCUAGAAAAGCAUCGGCGCGAGGUCUUAGCCGCCCGUACCCCAAACCGACACAGGUGAUCAGGUAGAGAAUACCAAGGCGAUCGAGAGAAUUAUGGUUAAGGAACUCGGCAAAAUGCCCCCGUAACUUCGGGAGAAGGGGGGCCCCAACCUUGAACACCACUCGCUGGUGGGAGGGGAUCGGGGCCGCAGAGACCAGGGGGAAGCGACUGUUUACUAAAAACACAGGUCCGUGCGAAGUCGCAAGACGAUGUAUACGGACUGACUCCUGCCCGGUGCUGGAAGGUUAAGAGGACCGGUUAGCCGCAAGGCGAAGCUGAGAAUUUAAGCCCCAGUAAACGGCGGUGGUAACUAUAACCAUCCUAAGGUAGCGAAAUUCCUUGUCGGGUAAGUUCCGACCUGCACGAAUGGAGUAACGACUUCCCCGCUGUCUCAACCAUAAACUCGGCGAAAUUGCAGUACGAGUAAAGAUGCUCGUUACGCGCAGCAGGACGGAAAGACCCCGAGACCUUUACUAUAGUUUGGUAUUGGUGUUCGGAGUGGCUUGUGUAGGAUAGGUGGGAGACGUUGAAGCCCUCACGCCAGUGGGGGUGGAGUCAUCGUUGAAAUACCACUCUGGUCACUUUGGACAUCUAACUUCGGCCCGUGAUCCGGGUCAGGGACAGUGCCUGAUGGGUAGUUUAACUGGGGCGGUUGCCUCCUAAAAAGUAACGGAGGCGCCCAAAGGUUCCCUCAGCCUGGUUGGCAAUCAGGUGUCGAGUGUAAGUGCACAAGGGAGCUUGACUGUGAGAGAGACAUCUCAAGCAGGGACGAAAGUCGGGACUAGUGAUCCGGCGGUACAUUGUGGAAUGGCCGUCGCUCAACGGAUAAAAGGUACCUCGGGGAUAACAGGCUGAUCUUGCCCAAGAGUCCAUAUCGACGGCAUGGUUUGGCACCUCGAUGUCGGCUCGUCG